UACGGAGGGUGCAAGCGUUAUCCGGAUUCACUGGGUUUAAAGGGUGCGUAGGCGGGCAGGUAAGUCAGUGGUGAAAUCUCCAGGCUUAACUUGGAAACUGCCGUUGAUACUAUCUGUCUUGAAUAUUGUGGAGGUGAGCGGAAUAUGUCAUGUAGCGGUGAAAUGCUUAGAUAUGACAUAGAACACCAAUUGCGAAGGCAGCUCACUACUCAAUCAUUGACUCUGAGGCACGAAAGCGUGGGGAUCAAACAGG
rnacentral:rRNA from 1 species